CAGGCUCCUUGGCCACUCUUCGUUUGCCUAACCCCCCAUCCCAGUCAGUCUGUUAACUUGAUGCUUGCUUCUAGUUCCGUGUGAGUAGGAAGGAGAGCCAUGGACCAGCUGUUCACAGUCAUUCAUGGGUCCCAGGAGGAAGGAGAUACAGUCCGGGGUGUGCUCUUGAUCUUUCAAGGAAGAGUUUCGAAAGAGAUGAGAUGGCUUGGAAAUCUUUUUCCUCAGCUUACGAAACGUUAAGAUGAAAAGAAGAAGCUAAAGUGGAGACAUUGGCUGAGAAGGGCUGAGGAUGUGCCAUGCUGGAUGUUUCCAAAGGUUAAUAUACUCUCAGCCUAAACACGGAAGACAAGCAGAGGAGAGAAACACAGAAGAAGAUGGAGCGACUCCCUUUGCAAGAGAACUGAAUGCAGGCCAAGUCCAGGCACAAGGAAGUCUUCGAUCAAGAAAGCUCUCUUCUACCAAUGACCCCCCAUGGACACAAACUCCUGGAACCUCGACUGCUUGCCUUUCAUCACGAUGGUCCAAGCCAGUUUCCGCCUCUCCUUCCCUCAAAUCCCCGCCUGUCCUCAAAACUUGCCACCCGUCCUUUUCAGCAGGGGUGCAGCGGGCAGCACUUGCUAAUGCCGUCCAGGACAGUACUGAGCAGCACUUGGUAAGAUCAGUUAAUAACGCUACGGAAAUUACCCAGCUACUACUUGAUGAAGGUGGGAAAGAGCAAUCCCUCGCUGAGUACUUGCACAAGAAGAGCGAUGCCCUGCCCACCUAGCCCUCAGAACGGGCACAGCGGCCAGCACUCUGUGAGCUCUGUGAAAACGCCUGAUGACAUGAGUGACGGGGUGGACGUCUGAGGCCCAGGAGAUGGAGUGCUAUGGGAGGCUGUUGGACUGCAGCUGUGUAUGUCAACUGUGUACACGGCUUUUCUCCCACCUUGGUUUUUUUUAUUCUUAUUUUUAUUCAUGUGUUUAACUUGAGGCAAAGUUUCCCUAUAUCGCCCAGGCUGGCCUCAGACUUGCUUAUACAUCUCUGGCUGACCUCAAUCUUCCUGCGUUUGUCUUUGUAGUAUUAGAAUAAUAGAGGUGCACCAGCACGCCCAGCCUCACUUUUCUUUAGCAGAGCGCUGGUGAUGUCUCUGCGGUAGGUUUUGACCUAUUUUUGGAAUGUGGACUUCCCCUUCAACAUUCUGAUGAAAGCUAUGUACCUUCUCCAAACCAAAAUAUAAAUAUAGUUCAAGGACUGCAGGUUAAAAAAAGAAAAAAAACACAACUGAGACGUUCUGUGUCAUCUUGAACAGACAGUACUGAUGUGAAAAAAAGGCAGAACACAGAGUACUCUAAAGGGUAUCUGAAAAGAUUCAUUCCAGCCCGGGCUUCAUACGAAUGGGAAGUACUGACUCAUUUGUGCUUCAUGUAUACUCUAUAAGCAGAGCCUGAAGGUAUUUCAUAUAAAUAUAGUGCCUGUAUUUUGAUUAUGAGGUCAGGGUCACAAUUAGGUGGUAUUAUGCUGACAUUCAAAAGUUACAGAUUUUGCAUAAGGAAUGCUCAACUGGGAUCACCUUUAAUAUAAAGAAGAUGCCUGGAGCUUAAGUAGCCUUCAGUAUGAGCUUUGCAGCCCCUUUCAAAGGCUUGAUCUCGUAACUGGUCUUCGACUGCCACUGCCUAGCCUUUGCUUGCAUACACCUUUCUUGGAUACACUUGUUUAACACUGAG
rnacentral:lncRNA from 1 species